GAUGAAGAACGUAGCGAAAUGCGAUAAGUAAUGUGAAUUGCAGAAUUCAGUGAAUCAUCGAAUCUUUGAACGCACAUUGCGCCCCCUGGUAUUCCGGGGGGCAUGCCUGUUCGAGCGUCAUUUCACCACUCAAGCCUCGCUUGGUAUUGGGCAACGCGGUCCGCCGCGUGCCUCAAAUCGACCGGCUGGGUCUUCUGUCCCCUAAGCGUUGUGGAAACUAUUCGCUAAAGGGUGUUCGGGAGGCUACGCCGUAAAACAACCCCAUUUCUAAGGUUGACAUCGGAUCAGGUAGGGAUACCCGCUGAACUUAAGCAUAUCAAUAAGCGGAGGA
rnacentral:misc_RNA from 1 species